CUACGGCGCAGCAGUGGGGAAUAUUGCACAAUGGGCGCAAGCCUGAUGCAGCCAUGCCGCGUGUAUGAAGAAGGCCUUCGGGUUGUAAAGUACUUUCAGCGGGGAGGAAGGGAGUAAAGUUAAUACCUUUGCUCAUUGACGUUACCCGCAGAAGAAGCACCGGCUAACUCCGUGCCAGCAGCCGCGGUAAUACGGAGGGUGAAAGCGUUAAUCGGAAUACUGGGCGUAAAGCGCACGCAGGCGGUUUGUUAAGUCAGAUGUGAAAUCCCCGGGCUCAACCUGGGAACUGCAUCUGAUACGGGCAAGCUUGAGUCUCGUAGAGGGGGGUAGAAUUCCAGGUGUAGCGGUGAAAUGCGUAGAGAUCUGGAGGAAUACCGGUGGCGAAGGCGGCCCCCUGGACGAAGACUGACGCUCAGGUGCGAAAGCGUGGGGAGCAAACAGGAUUAGAUACCCGCGUAGUC
rnacentral:rRNA from 1 species